UACGGAGGGAGCAAGCGUUACUCGGAAUUAUUGGGCGUAAAGCGCUCGCAGGCGGUUUCUUAAGUCUGAUGUGAAAGCCCACGGCUCAACCGUGGAGGGUCAUUGGAAACUGGGAGACUUGAGUGCAGAAGAGGAGAGUGGAAUUCCACGUGUAGCGGUGAAAUGCGUAGAGAUGUGGAGGAACACCAGUGGCGAAGGCGACUCUCUGGUCUGUAACUGACGCUGAGGAGCGAAAGCGUGGGAACAAACAGGG
rnacentral:rRNA from 1 species